GGCUGGUUGGCGCAAUGGUAGCGCGUGCCCCUCCUAUCAGGAAACGUUCAAGGGCAAGGCUGUGGGUUCGAGUCCCAUGCUAGUCG